AUGAACGCUAGCUACAGGCUUAACACAUGCAAGUCGAGGGGCAGCAUGGUCUUAGCUUGCUAAGGCCGAUGGCGACCGGCGCACGGGUGAGUAACACGUAUCCAACCUGCCGUCUACUCUUGGACAGCCUUCUGAAAGGAAGAUUAAUACAAGAUGGCAUCAUGAGUCCGCAUGUUCACAUGAUUAAAGGUAUUCCGGUAGACGAUGGGGAUGCGUUCCAUUAGAUAGUAGGCGGGGUAACGGCCCACCUAGUCUUCGAUGGAUAGGGGUUCUGAGAGGAAGGUCCCCCACAUUGGAACUGAGACACGGUCCAAACUCCUACGGGAGGCAGCAGUGAGGAAUAUUGGUCAAUGGGCGAGAGCCUGAACCAGCCAAGUAGCGUGAAGGAUGACUGCCCUAUGGGUUGUAAACUUCUUUUAUAAAGGAAUAAAGUCGGGUAUGGAUACCCGUUUGCAUGUACUUUAUGAAUAAGGAUCGGCUAACUCCGUGCCAGCAGCCGCGGUAAUACGGAGGAUCCGAGCGUUAUCCGGAUUUAUUGGGUUUAAAGGGAGCGUAGAUGGAUGUUUAAGUCAGUUGUGAAAGUUUGCGGCUCAACCGUAAAAUUGCAGUUGAUACUGGAUAUCUUGAGUGCAGUUGAGGCAGGCGGAAUUCGUGGUGUAGCGGUGAAAUGCUUAGAUAUCACGAAGAACUCCGAUUGCGAAGGCAGCCUGCUAAGCUGCAACUGACAUUGAGGCUCGAAAGUGUGGGUAUCAAACAGGAUUAGAUACCCUGGUAGUCCACACGGUAAACGAUGAAUACUCGCUGUUUGCGAUAUACUGCAAGCGGCCAAGCGAAAGCGUUAAGUAUUCCACCUGGGGAGUACGCCGGCAACGGUGAAACUCAAAGGAAUUGACGGGGGCCCGCACAAGCGGAGGAACAUGUGGUUUAAUUCGAUGAUACGCGAGGAACCUUACCCGGGCUUAAAUUGCAGAUGAAUUACGGUGAAAGCCGUAAGCCGCAAGGCAUCUGUGAAGGUGCUGCAUGGUUGUCGUCAGCUCGUGCCGUGAGGUGUCGGCUUAAGUGCCAUAACGAGCGCAACCCUUGUUGUCAGUUACUAACAGGUUCCGCUGAGGACUCUGACAAGACUGCCAUCGUAAGAUGUGAGGAAGGUGGGGAUGACGUCAAAUCAGCACGGCCCUUACGUCCGGGGCUACACACGUGUUACAAUGGGGGGUGCAGAGGGCCGCUACCACGCGAGUGGAUGCCAAUCCCCAAAACCUCUCUCAGUUCGGACUGGAGUCUGCAACCCGACUCCACGAAGCUGGAUUCGCUAGUAAUCGCGCAUCAGCCACGGCGCGGUGAAUACGUUCCCGGGCCUUGUACACACCGCCCGUCAAGCCAUGGGAGCCGGGGGUACCUGAAGUGCGUAACCGCGAGGAGCGCCCUAGGGUAAAACUGGUGACUGGGGCU
rnacentral:rRNA from 1 species